CAAGAAUGCCGAUAGACAAAAAAAUAUCAUAUUGUAGGCUAUGUUACAACAAAGACAUCAUCUUGUGAUGAUGGGCAGAGACAAGCGGGAUAAUCAACAUUUUUAUCCUCCUGUUUAAUUUAAUUAUUUGAAGACAUGGAAAACUGCCUGUUUUCACACAUGACAAUUGCAAAGGCAUUCAUUGAUGCAGCGUUGUGUAACUGAGUUAACCAUUUAUCAACAUAUGAAUUAGUAAUUUUUGUUAAACUACUGAAAUAAUUAUGAAAAGCACUAGAGAGCCGUUUCACUGAUUAUUAAUUGAUUAUCUUGCAUUUCAAAUCUGAGGGUCAAAAGAGGCUGAGGACAUGACUAAUAGGCUACCCCCAUUAUGAAUGUCAACAUCCUUGAUCGAAGUAGUCAGAGUUUUUAGGGUAGGAACUCCAUGUGACUCUUUUUCCCAUGUACCCAAUUUAAGUUGUUUACUAUCAGUUAUCUGUCUGUUAAAGUUUCCAAUGCAGCUGUUGUUCUCUCAAAGUCAAAUAAUUUCUGGGUAAAAAUGAAGUACCUUAAUUGUCAAAAAGAAACAAAAAAUAGCUUCAGAGCAAAGAGCAAUUUGUCAAGCAAGAAUUUAGCUAGGACUGUCUGAGAGUUGUCUGAGUGGGGAGGGGAAAACAAAGAAAUGUGCUGUUAUUGGCAGAGAGGUUUGGAACUCUCUUUCUUAUUGGUCUAUUAACUCAUUUCCUGCCUUGUGUUUUCACCAGGCAUGCCAAAACUCCAUCCCACCAAAACAGGCUGAAAUUCAAACAGCUGUCUUUUCAACUAGCUCUUACACUAAAAGAGCAUUAUUAUAAUUUUCAAAAUUUCACAGUAUUAUUCCAAACUAAUAGUGUGCCAAUAUAUAUACAACACUGGGCUUUUAAGGAUUGGAGCGAACAGCUGCAAGCCAACCAGGUAGAAAAAUGGCAGAAAAAUGGCA